GGUGGUGGGGAACUGAUUUGGAAGGCCAGAGCUACCAAUAGGGACCCCGUGUAUAGUGGGUUGGAGUACUUCAGAAGAAGCUGGUUGGCUAUUGGUCUAGAGGCUUUGGGAGGAAAGAUCUAGGUGCUCAUAGCUUACAGAGAGGAAGGGGUGGGUGGCUCCAGCUGAGUGACAGACAGGGAAGGCAGAGCUGCUGUGAGGAGGAUCUAAUCACUCACUUACCUGUUGAGGUCUGACCCAUUGCUAUGCAUUAUAAUGCUAAAAACUGGCCCUGGUUGCCUUGGGAACACACAAGAAUCCUCACAUACACCAAAUGAUGCUACGUGACCUUGCUUCUUAUUUUAAAACUAUUGGUUAUAUAAAGAUGCCCACAGCCUAUAGCUGGGCAGAAGACAGGUAGGUGAGGUUUUGGUUCCCAGGUUUGGAGUCUGAGAAGGACCAUGAGAGGGAGAAGAGAAAUGCUAUGGAUUAAAGGAUCGUGAGAACUGGACAUGGGGGUUGGCCAUUUGGAAUAAGAGCGGCCCAGCUCCCGUGGGUAUUUCUCAGGGCCCUCAGCGCAGCAUUAGCCGUUUGCUGGUACAACUCCUACAGGCGUGCAUACAACGUCCGCUGGGACCCCAUGUGCCCUGGCCAUCCUAUAUCCCUGACAGGAAGCUCAGCGAUGACACAUUUUCAGAUGCUUGCCAGUGAAAACCAAAAGAAGAGAAAAGAAAAAAAAGGAAAAGAAGAAAAAGAAAAAGAUAAAAGUUACAACAGAGAACACCAACUCCAAAUAAAACCCUACAGGUUCUACUGAUUCUCCCAGGGCUCAAGUCAGAGAGAAUUUUAAGUGUCACCUUAAACUGCAAGGACGUCUGUUAAACAUCACAAUUAAACCACAUUGUCAGAUGCCCACCCACCCCCCACACACACCUCAGGCCCACCCUUGCUCACCUUCUAUACCCUCCCUUUUCUUCUUCUUUUUAUUAAACAAGAGGAAGUAGACAGAUCCAUGUUGGUAAAUGCUAAUGGUCUGUAUUCACAGAGACACAGUGUAAUCUCUGAGCCCAAUAAACAGAGAAAAGGAAAAAGGUAGAAAUCUGUGUACUACUACACAGGGGCCUGGCACCCUCCAGCCUCCAGCAGAGCCAAGGGAACUGGAGGGCUUUUCUUCUUGCCUACAGAGCAUGGUGGUGGUGUUGAAUCCAGUUUUUGAGACAAGGAAGGAUUAAAAAUGAAUUUAGAAUAGAAAUGUGAGAUUCUUUUUCUGUUGUAUUUUGCUCAAGACAUUUUCCCCCAAAUUAGUUGAGAACCAUGAUGUUGAGACCUCAAAAACAGGGCAACUGAGCCCAGAGGGACAGGGAGGAAAGGAUUGCAACUCCCUUUCAGGGACUGGAGAAAAUUAAAAAAAUAAAAGGAAAAUGAAAAAGAAAAAGAUUGGAUCCGUCGGUCCUCUGUGCUAGUCAUCCUUGUCUUCAUCCGUCUGUCCUUCCUCACCUUCAUCCUCCUCCUCCUCACCUUCAGCCUCAUCUUCAUCAAUAUCUUCCAACCCUCUUCAUCAUCAUCAUCCUCUGCCUUUCCCUCUUCAUCGUCCAUAUUGGGCACCAAAUAAUACUGCAAGGGAUUUGGCCAAAUAUCAUCUUUGAUGACCUCUCCUAAGUCAUCAGCACUUGCGUUGGAAUGGUCAGGAAACCAGGGAAAGAAGCUCUCUGGCUUUCGUGCUGCCUCUUCCUGCUGGCCUUAUUCUGCAUUUGACUUGAGUGUUUUGUCAAAUCCCUUCCAGAUUUCCGUUCUAUUUCAGUGGACUCUGAAGACGGGUCACCACUCUCAUUCAGAUGAAAUUCUUUGGAGAGUACUUUAUUUUCAAAGUAAGGAUUUUCAUCAAAAUAAAAAUCUAUUCUGUAACCUGAUUAAUGUCUUCAAAUUCUGUCACUUCAACUCUGGUCAAAUAAAGCAGGGCUUCCUUGUCUUCCUCCCCAAGCAGUGCAGACACCUACGGAUGGUUGACAAAUGUUGUUACCCAAAAAUUUGUGAUUUUGGCCAUCAAUUCUGACCUCUUCUGAAAAAAUGGUUGGCGGAGCUUGUUAUAUUUUUGUUCUACUUUCAAAAUUUCCUCACUGGCUUGUUCAUUAACUGUCUGUUUCAUUUUGAACUUCAGCAAUAUGUCACUUGCUUCUUGUAGGGAGCCGUAUUGGAUUUGGGCCUGGCCGCUUUUUGACUGCAUGGCUCAAAGUGGCUAGGUGACUCUGGGCUGUUUGGCCACAGAUAUUCACCCCUAAGAUGACUGCCAUAAGUCUUAAGAUUGUUGGACAAAAGCCUCUCCCAUGAAUUUACGGCACGGGAAGAUAACAUUCAAGGGAUGCCUCAGCUCGAGCCGAUACCAGUUAUCUCCUGAGUCAACACCCGGUGUCUCCACCGCCUGACCUCUUUGCCUCCUGCUAUCACUGCCUAUACCCUCGCCCCUCCAUCCUUCAUGUUUCACAAAGGACACUCCCCCUACCUGAAAGCCUUAAAAGCUGUAACGUUCACCCCAAUAAAUGAGACCUUGACAACAGAA